rnacentral:rRNA from 1 species
GACGAACGCUGGCGGCGUGCUUAACACAUGCAAGUCGAACGGGGCUUGCCCUUUGGGGUGGGUUUAGUGGCGAACGGGUGAGUAACACGUGAGUAACCUGCCCUUAACUCUGGGAUAAGCCUGGGAAACUGGGUCUAAUACCGGAUAUGACUCCUCAUCGCAUGGUGGGGGGUGAAAGCUUUAUUGUGGUUUUGGAUGGACUCGCGGCCUAUCAGCUUGUUGGUGAGGUAAUGGCUCACCAAGGCGACGACGGGUAGCCGGCCUGAGAGGGUGACCGGCCACACU